AAUAUAUGAACAAAAAUUGUGCAAAAAGCUGCAAAAUAUGCGAAGCAAAAUGUGAAGACUCCGACAAGGUCCAAUGUCCGCUAUGGGCUAAGAAGGGAGAAUGCUAUAA